rnacentral:rRNA from 1 species
ACUUAGUGAUCCGGUGGUUCUGCGUGGAAGGGCCAUCGCUCAACGGAUAAAAGCUACCCUGGGGAUAACAGGCUUAUCUCCCCCAAGAGUCCACAUCGACGGGGAGGUUUGGCACCUCGAUGUCGGCUCAUCACAUCCUGGGGCUGUAGUAGGUCCCAAGGGUUGGGCUGUUCGCCCAUUAAAGUGGUACGCGGGCUGGGUUCAGAACGUCGUGAGACAGUUCGGUCCCUAUCCGUCGCAGGCGUAGGAAAUUUGAGAAGACCUGUCCUUAGUACGAGAGGACCGGGAUGGACGUACCUCUGGUGUACCAGUUGUCCUGCCAAGGGCAUGGCUGGGUAGCUAUGUACGGAAUGGAUAAGCGCUGAAAGCAUCUAAGCGCGAAGCCAACUUCAAGAUAAGAUUUCCCACCGCAAGGGUAAGACCCCAGAAAGACUAUCUGGUUG